rnacentral:rRNA from 1 species
CCCGGACCAAGGCGCCCGCCGGAGGACCAACCAAAACUCUUAUUGUAUACCCCCUCGCGGGUUUUUUUAUAAUCUGAGCCUUCUCGGCGCCUCUCGUAGGCGUUUCGAAAAUGAAUCAAAACUUUCAACAACGGAUCUCUUGGUUCUGGCAUCGAUGAAGAACGCAGCGAAAUGCGAUAAGUAAUGUGAAUUGCAGAAUUCAGUGAAUCAUCGAAUCUUUGAACGCACAUUGCGCCCGCCAGUAUUCUGGCGGGCAUGCCUGUCCGAGCGUCAUUUCAACCCUCGAACCCCUCCGGGGGGUCGGCGUUGGGGAUCGGCCCUGCCUUGGCGGUGGCCGUCUCCGAAAUACAGUGGCGGUCUCGCCGCAGCCUCUCCUGCGCAGUAGUUUGCACACUCGCAUCGGGAGCGCGGCGCGUCCACAGCCGUUAAACACCCAACUUCUGAAAUGUUGACCUCGGAUCAAGUAGGAAUACCCGCUGAACUUAAGCAUAUC